rnacentral:rRNA from 1 species
AUUGAACGGCUGGCGGUAUGCUUUACACAUGCAAGUCGAACGGCAGCACGGACUUCGGUCUGGUGGCGAGUGGCGAACGGGUGAGUAAUGUAUCGGAACGUGCCCAGUAGUGGGGGAUAACUACUCGAAAGAGUGGCUAAUACCGCAUGAGAUCUCUGGAUGAAAGCGGGGGACCGUAAGGCCUCGCGCUACUGGAGCGGCCGAUAUCAGAUUAGGUAGUUGGUAGGGUAAGAGCCUACCAAGCCAACGAUCUGUAGCUGGUCUGAGAGGACGACCAGCCACACUGGGACUGAGACACGGCCCAGACUCCUACGGGAGGCAGCAGUGGGGAAUUUUGGACAAUGGACGCAAGUCUGAUCCAGCAAUACCGCGUGCAGGACGAAGGCCUUCGGGUUGUAAACUGCUUUUGUACGGAACGAAAAGCCUUCUUCUAAUACAGGGAGGUCAUGACGGUACCGUAAGAAUAAGCACCGGCUAACUACGUG